rnacentral:lncRNA from 9 species
ACACCUGGAACCUCGCGGCCUUUUUUUUAGGAAGGGAGGGAGACAGAAUAGCAAUUGUGCCCUUGGAAGCACUCCGGAAAUCACGAGAAUCUGUUAAAGCUACCUAAAAUCUUCUCUCCCUAGGUGGAGAAGGGAAAGCCGCCAGCUGGUAUUUUGGAAUUAACUAACCCGGAAGGAAAUGCCAUCUCUGCUGCAGCCUGCGAGGACUGGGGAGGUCUCCAGACGUCUUGAGCGAGUCAGGUCCUCAUGAUGGGCUUUCCUGUGCUCGCCUGGAAACCAGGACGCUCUUACCUGCCCGGGGCCCGGACUGCAGACCAGGACUCAAGACAAGAGCCUGCCCUUUUCCCUGCAGAGAAGGAGGUCCCAGAUCAUCAGAGAAAGUCCCUCGAGCUGAAGGAGCUCCCAGAUUGCACACAGAGGGUGGACAGACGCUGGCUGGAGAGCCACAUGCAGCGGGACACAGAGACAGAGGCCAGAGGCCAGCCGGCAUCGUGAUGGGGUGAGUUACUUUUGGAAGGGAAGGUGCUACAGGCCAGAGGCAGAGCAAGCCCAGGAAGACACAUGGGAUCCACUGGGGGACUCACCAUGGUCCCCAAGGAAAGAAAUUAACCCUAGGGGUGAGGAAGAGGGACAAACCCAAGGGGACAGGUGGAGACCAUGAACGUGACAGUGUUUUAAACCUGAAUUCACGGAGACGUUCCAUUCUAGGAUACAACCCCUUACAGUGACUCCAUUCAUUUCCUGUUAUUAGAGGAAAGUGUGGGCUUGUGAUGGACUCAGACUGAGUUCUGGAAAAUGUACUAACGCUGCCUUUUUGCACACCCACGUUUUAUAAGGUGUUUUUUUGUUUUUUUUUUUUUUUUUUUUUUUUUUUUAACCAUAACAUUCAAACCCAUGACACACAUAGUCUGGCAUAUUUUCACAAGCCCUGGGUCUGAGGUAUUUGAAGAUUCAAGGGCUACAAAGAAGUGCAGAAUUCCCCCUGGGAAAUUGACACAACAUAUUAGAGAUAAAAAUCAAAGCGAGUCUUCUUUUAGACCGAGUCUCCCCAUGAAAUAGGUGUGAACGCUUCACCUCAGAGGGGCUGGCUGCCAAGCAGUUGAAGGUGCUGAACCUCCUUUUUCUAGGAGUUAUACUGAUGCUGACAAAUGCUCUUUUCAAAUGAUUGAUUCCUCAACAUGUGAGAAUCUGAGUUAAGUCUGAACCUCAGAGCACAAGUUCAGAGCCAAGAUCAAAAGCUCGCCAGCUCACCCUGCUUGGCCUUCCGCCCGGGCUUGAGAGGCUUCCAGUCUCCAGCGCUGACUUUGUGGACACAGGGAACAGGGGAUGGUCUCUCUGGUAGCAACGGCCCCGUACCCAUCACGAUAAGCCAUGAUUAUAAGCGAUCUGAGCUUCUGGCGCGGGUUUCCAACAUGGCAGCCCGUCCAUUGGAGAGCAACCCACUCACGGGGAGCGACUGGCCAGCAGUUCCAGCCAAAGAUACCCGUCUUCUCACCUGGAAUAGGAGGCUCCAGGGAGGUGGCCAAAGAGCCACGUGGUUGGCUUCGAUCCAGAUCUUUCCAAUGAACAUGCACAGUUUAAAUAUUUUAUUAUUUCAGUGACAGCAAACACUUUUGGGCAUCGAAGGGGAUCGUGCUAAAUCUGAUUGUGUGAAGGUGGCUAGGGGGCUCCCUUAAGCCCAGACACAUGACAGGCUUGUGACCGGAAUGGAAAAGAUCUGGCCAAGUUCCCCGUCUCCCCACUGCUCCUUACUUCAUCCGGAUUCUCUGCUGUAUGAACGAGUGCACGGAGCAUUAGCAAAAGGAGCAGGAAUGUUAGGCUGAGAUUUCGAAGGAGGAGGAAAGGGCCCUGUCAUUCCAGGACUGGAGAAAUGACUCGCACUCGCCAUCAUGAAGUUUCCUAACGUUGAUAAGGGGACAGGGGAGAAGGGUCUUCUGUAAAGUCUUGG